rnacentral:rRNA from 1 species
CAUCCUACGGGGGGCAGCAGUGGGGAAUAUUGCACAAUGGGGGAAACCCUGAUGCAGCAACGCCGCGUGAGUGAAGAAGUCAUUCGUGAUGUGAAGCUCUAUCAGCAGGGAAGAAAAUGACGGUACCUGACUAAGAAGCCCCGGCUAACUACGUGCCAGCAGCCGCGGUAAUACGUAGGGGGCAAGCGUUAUCCGGAUUUACUGGGUGUAAAGGGAGCGUAGACGGCAGCGCAAGUCUGGAGUGAAAUCCCAUGGCUUAACCAUGGAACUGCUUUGGAAAUUGUGCAGCUGGAGUGCA